rnacentral:rRNA from 1 species
UACGUAGGGGGCAAGCGUUGUCCGGAUUUAUUGGGCGUAAAGAGCGUGUAGGCGGCCAGGUAGGUCCGCUGUGAAAACUCGAGGCUCAACCUCGAGAUGUCGGCGGAAACCAUCUGGCUAGAGUCCGGAAGAGGAGAGUGGAAUUCCUGGUGUAGCGGUGAAAUGCGCAGAUAUCAGGAAGAACACCGAUGGCGAAGGCAGGUCUCUGGGCCACUACUGACGCUGAGAAGCGAAAGCAUGGGGAGCGAACAGG